GGUUAUAACCCAGUAUCAAAAGGUACUAAGGGCUUCUGACCAGCCUUCAAGGUUGUGUCGAAACCGAAAUUUUUGGAUAGCCUUUCCGGGGGUUCCGGGAGGGCANN
rnacentral:sRNA from 1 species